rnacentral:rRNA from 1 species
GUGGGGAAUAUUGGACAAUGGGCGAAAGCCUGAUCCAGCCAUGCCGCGUGUGUGAAGAAGGUCUUCGGAUUGUAAAGCACUUUAAGUUGGGAGGAAGGGCAGUAAGUUAAUAACUUGCUGUUUUGACGUUACCGACAGAAUAAGCACCGGCUAACUUCGUGCCAGCAGCCGCGGUAAUACGAAGGGUGCAAGCUUUAAUCGUAAUUAAUGGGCGUCAAGCGCGCGUAGGUGGUUUUGUACGUUGGAGGUGAAAUCCCCGGGCUCAACCUGGGAACUGCGUCCAAAACUGAAUGACUAGAGUACGGUAGAGGGUAGUGGAAUUGCCUGUGUAGCGGUGAAAUGCGUAGAUAUAGGAAGGAACACCAGUGGCGAAGGCGACUACCUGGACUGAUACUGACACUGAGGUGCGAAAGCGUGGGGAGCAAACAGGAUUAGAAACCCCGGUAGUCC